UUUUUUUUUUUUUCCUUCUUUUUUCUUUUUAAGGCUGCACCUACGGCAUAUGGAGGUUCCCAGCUAGGUAUCGAAUAGGAGCUACAGCUGCUGGCCCACCCCACAGCUCAAGGCAACACUGGAUCCCCGACCCACAGAGCGAGGCCCGGGAUCAAGCCUACAUCCUCAUGGAUACUCAUCGGAUUCGUUUCCGCUGUGCCAGGACGAGCACUCCCCCGCCAAAGCUGUUUUGAAGUGGCAGUCUAUUACCAGCCACCUCUAGGGAUUUGAUUUUGAGACUUCCCCAACAACCACAAACCCACUUAUUCCUGCUAUAUUCAGUGUGUUUGCUUUAAAUUAAUGACGGAAUUUGACAUAGCUAUUUCUAGUGGUGAAUCCACAUCCAUUGCUUUGUGCAAGAGCGAUGCUGCCUUUUCUGUGAAGGAGGAAUCAAGUGACCCAGGAGGGGCUGAGCUGGGCUUCUAGCAGGGGGGCUGGAGGGGGCCAUCUCUUUCCGUGUCCAGGCUGUGAUGCCGAGAUUGGAGCUCAUAGGAAAACACCACCUGCACUCGGGUCCCCCUUUGGGACUUCUUUCUUCCGUCUCCUCCACAUUCCUCAGACCUCAGCCUGAGCUUCGUCCUGAGGAGACAGGACACCGCUGUCAUUGGCCGCUUUCACAGUCUCAUUAAGGUGCAGGGCAACCUUUCUUCCAGGCGGCACUAAGCCCACUUCCCCAUCUUCAUUCACCACCAUCAGCUCUGGGGCUCUCCCCAGAUGGCUUUCCUAUUCAUUCUUCCUUUCCUGGCUGUCACCCGCCUGCCCAGUUCCACCCUGGCACUGGGUGUGAUGGAUGCAGAUAAGUCUUCUCUUUCUGCCCAAGUGUCUCCCUAGUCCCCUCUCUUCCCUCCCUGCCGUCCUCUCUGGCACAUCCACAGUUGAGGCACGUCAAAGUGACCUGCACUGGGUACCUAAUACGGCCGCUCUCUCCUGACCUCCUGCAUCCCACACAGAACCGCCCGCAGACUCCCUCCUGCACCAGGUCACUUGGCUAAGACCUAGCGGUGGUCACAGGCUCCCUCGCUUGAACACCUUCCCUUCCUUCUUGCACAGGAAAGAAAGUGCAAACGCUGGAGUCGGGCAUCCAUUCCACACCUCCGUGUAGCUGGCCCCCUGAUCUCUCGGGAGACCAACGUUGGGCUUCCUGUGGUCCAGUCAAGCCUGCUGGUUGCCCGGCACGAUGCUCGGACCCUGCAUACAUCUUAUAGCUUCCUCAUGCCCUCUGCCCAUGCUUGCUUUCCCUUUCUCAGCUUUUCAAAAUCCUUAUUCUACUUUCCUUCCCAGGCCUAGCUCCAUGUGCUUUCCUUUGCAGUUCUCCCCAGUCGGAAGGAUUAUUCUGUGCUUCCUGGUCACAUGGUUUGUAUUUCUGUUUAUAGUUUAUAAAAUGCUUUUUUAAGAUUCGACUUGUGCUCCUUGAACAUGGACGCGUCCUCUCCACUAGAAAGCAAGCUCUUUGCGGACAAAGCUGGACACCCCCCCGCCCCCCGCAGUGAGCUCCAGGUCCCCACCUCAGUGCAGCGUAUGUGGGAAUACUGAUUCCUGUGAAGGAACAUUGGUUGAAUCAAGUUUGCAAAAAUAUGUGCCCACAGGCAAGCGGUGGGACCACAGCAGUGUCUCCUGGUCCACGUGACUCCACUCUCAGAAGAUGCAUGAGCUCAAAUGACUCAGCAAAAAUUUACUGACAGGAAAUAAGAGCUUCAGACGGAGACUCUAUUACCACUGAUCUAAAACACAUGUGUCUGGAGCCCCAGCUCAGGUUUUCCGCAGCACACGCCAAGGAUCUGCAGCCGGGUACUGUGUCCCGAAGGACUAAUGAGCCACAGGCUCCCCCCCCCUGCCACCCCCUUGAGGCUGCAGAGCCUCGAGCGCGCAGGGUUGUGGUUCUCUUAGUUAAAAAAAAAAUCCAUCCGCCUGGAUUUCCCAGAUAAUUGAAAUGUGUCCCCACAGGCACCCAAACUUUUCAAAGUCAAAUUGGUUUUGAGAAACAGUUUCCAAAAGGAAGAACACAAGUCUACCUUCGCACCUUCUGAAGGUGUCAGGAAUGCUGAUGUCUUGAUUGUUCUGGGCGGCCGUCGAGUAUUUCAGUUGCUAUGUCUCUCGCGGGAUCACCCCCCCCCCACUACUGCGCUAUCCCAUCAAGUCCUUAAGGUAAGGGAACAGCUACGGCUUAGGGGCACCUGCUCUGUGCACAGCACACUGAGAGGCAUUCUAUGUGCAUGACUGCAUCCUGGCCUCAGACAGCCCUAGGAGGUAGAUGUUAUUUCUAGGCGUGAGGUUAAGUCACCGGCCCGCGGUUACCUGGCAAGUUAAGUGAUGGAGACGGGCCCUGAUCCACGCAGUCCGCUCCAAUGCCCACAUUGGCAAACCCCUUACCCUGCUGUCUCCUUAGGCUCAAGCUGGCCUGAAGUAAGGUGACCGCCUGGAAGGGACUUUCCUCAUGUUAGCGCUGGAAAUCCUCCGGCCGGAAAAUCCACAAUAGUUGGUCACCCGCACUUGAGAGCCCAAGAACGCUCCCCUAACACUUGGCUCUCGCAGAGCAGAUGUGCUGCUGUUAAGUGGUCCAUCCCCAAGCCGUUGGGGACAGGGAAGGAACAAUUCACCAGGCAAGGCAAACCAGCAGGGCCAGACACAGUGGCUCCCAAGAGAGAAAUGAUGUUGCAGGUUUGUUUCACACAGUGUGGGUGAGAAACGUCUAUGAAUAAAAAUCAUAUACUCCUUUCUUCAUAUUCAAAACAGGAGACUGGCAACUUCUGCUGAUUGUGGGCAAUUUUCUAAGUUAGAGUGUUUGUAUGUUAAAGAGCUUCUCAUUCAGACAAGGAAAGAGUUUUUUAAAAGCAUUCAUUCCGCUGUAAAUCAACUAUAUUUAAAAAAAAAAAAAAGAGAGAUUCUUCCCAGGAAACAGCAUCUUAGGAGCCACGCAUUGUUCAGCUCACAGGUCAGCUGACAGAAACAGGACUCCGGGGUCCGCCUGGGGGCACACGUGUGUGUGGGGGGGAGGCUGAGGCUGGGCUUCUGCUGUGCCCACUGCCCACCUGGAGGUCUCACAAAAAGGAAUGCUUGGUUAAGCAGAUCCACAUGGGGAAGCUUGCAGCAAGGAAUAACUCACUUCCACAGAAGACCUGCAAGCGAAAGCCUAAGUUAACUGAUAUGGCAUUUCUGGUUCAUUCCAGUAGAAUUUUAAUGUGCAUUGAAUACCAGUGUCCUAGGCAGGGUCCACCCCACUCCGGGGCCCCCUCCUUAAUCUGCCUGGCCCUCUGGCCUGAGAAAAAUUGAGGGGCUUUCUGACUGCCCUUUCCUCAGGGACCUUUUCCAAAACCUUUCGUGGCUGGAAAGGCUGAGGUCAAUGGCAGGCUGGCCUCCAGAAUGGCGGGGUUGCUGUAUUUGGAGGGUGUUGUUUCAUAGAAGACUAAGUGCUCCUUUGAGAGUUCAAGGUUAACUUCCAGGCAAAACAAAGUGGAGUGGCUUUCUGUGCUGCUUCUUGCAUCUGCACAAGCCUGGACAUUAUCUUGGCAGGAAGACAAAUUUUAGGGAAGGCUGAGGUCAAUGGCAGGCUGGCCUCCAGAAUGGCGGGGUUGCUACAGAGCCAUGGCCUGGCGGGGCAGGGGCUUGAGCUUCCCCAGAGGGAUUCCUCAGCUGCAAGCAAGCAGUGGGUGUUUGAUGGGGGAGCUGAGUUUUAAUCUUCAAUGAGCAAAAGGACUCCUUUAGGAAUUAGAAACCAAAUAGGUUGAGGCUGCCAGAAGAGAUGACAAAUUUGCUUUUCCUUAACUAUACAAAAAAUUGUUCCAUGGAAAGUUAUAAAGGCAUUUUUAAAGGAUAGGGUUUACAUUUCUGUUCAUGUUUCAUUUUCCUCUUACAUUUAAUUUAGCUAUUUAGGAAAUUGCUUAUUAAAACCAAAAGAUCAAGCUAUUGUUCUCCCUUAAAGGCAAAUCUGGGCUGUUCUAAGUCACAGGACGUUCAUGGCAUCUUCAGGAGGGAGGUGGUCCCCUCUCCUUGGCGACCCAGGUCUGCUCUGGCUCAAUCUCCAUAAAUACUAUGACGUUGUUGGCUGUUCCCAGCUUUCACCUACCCGGCAAUUUAUGGGCUUUUAAAUCUUCCAGAGAAUUUCUGCAAAUUGCCACUGGCACCAUAUUGAGAGCCUGGACAAACACCUUUGUGCUAUGGGGGGAUUCUAGGUGGACUCAGCUAUGGACCCUGGAACACACUGCAGGAGCCUCUCUUCCCCAAGAGUGUUAAGGGGGUACCCCAAUUUCUAGUCUGUUCAAUGACCUCAGUGUCCUAAUAAAAACACCUGCUCAGAGCAUCUAACUUAGGAAACUAUGGGAAGAACAAACUAACCGGAGAGGAUAGACUCAGAAACGGUAAGCCGUUUUUUCAUAAAAUCUGAUGUCCAACUGAGGAGAUCAAGACAAACUAUAAUUUCAGUGUUACUUGUGCAAGGUGUUAUGCCCCAAAGUAUUGAUGCCAUCCUGAAAGUUAAAAAAUACUGAAGUUCCCAUCCCUUCCCUGAGGAAUGUACGGAGAAAAAGCUAUGAUACCCUUCUUAGGGCCCUUCCAUUCAGCUCAGCUACAGUCAUGCUGAUGAUUCAGAUUCCGUACUUGCAAAUCUGCCUGCUUGCUCAAGCAUUUGUAAUCGCAAAGGAACACGCUCCGUCCUUCGGUCAUUAGCAGACAUGCGCGAGCCGCUUUUAAAGCUGAGUCACCCAAAGCGUGAGUUUCUGGCUGAGGGGCAGCUCAACCUCCUGGUUCAGCUCCCUUACGGUAAGCAGACAUCCGUCUUAUGGCCUGUCUAAGGUCAUCCUCGCCACGUUUUCAUGCAUUUUGUUGGCGAUGUCAUGAAGACGGCUCCCCAGCACGUGCUAAAGGGCUGUCCGAGGCUCCGAUCACAGGAGAGGCUGUGAUGGAGAAGAUGUGUUCAGUAAGCAUCCUUCGGGCGCGCCUUACAGUGUUGUUGACUGUGAGGUUAAUGCCAAGGAAUUAACAGCACACGACAGGUGUCUUUACACAGAAACACGGAUGAUAGACGGUCAUGUCUUGAUCCACAGUCAAAACUUGUGAGGCUCCCUGGAAUCUAACCGUGUCUUUCCACCAGGGACAGAGGGAUGGUUCAGUGCCCACUGUUUCAGCGCUCACAACGUUACAGAACGUAACGACCACAGACGAUGGGAAUCACCCUUCUCACGCUUCCAGCUGCUCUUCACAGGGAAUUUAACUUGUACGGCAUUUCUCUGGUGGUAAGGUCUGUUCACUCUGACUUGUCAGGUACCUAUUGUGUGGGGAACCUCAUGAUAGGAUCUCAAAGGGCAUACAGAUGACCAAAGCUAACAUCCUUGCCCUCCAGAAGCUUCUGAUCCAUCGGAGGAGAGACGAACUUGAAUGGAUGGAGCCUGACAUUCCGAGUUAGGACUACAAAUAGUUGUUCAGGUGUUUCCCAUCACAUAAUCACAAACUACGAGGCUUUGAAAAAUCUUGUCCAUUGCCUCCUCCUGCAGCAUUUUUCUCACCUGGCUUCCAGGAUGCUGCACCGCAUCCCUGGCCUCCCCUCGUCAGUCUCCUUUGCCCCAUGUUUCCUUUACUGCUGAAUGUCGGGGGGCCCCAGAACUCGAUUCUUGGAUCACAUUCUUUUCAAUUUACACUCACAUCUCUGGUCAUGUUAUCUGGCUUUCUGAUUUUAAACGUGAACUAUGCAGUGGUGACAUCCCUGACCUCUAAAUUCACAAAUACACCUGCCUGCCUGGCUCUCCGUUUGAAAGUCCAAGGGGCACGUCACACAAAAUCAUCUCAAACUCCUGAUAUCAGCUCCUGAACUCAGCCGCCCCAGCCUUCUCCCUUUCUAGUUCUCUUCAUGUCCGUAAGUAGCCACUCCAUCUGUGGCAGAAUUUAUUUUCCCCAACCAAAUCCCACAAUAAUAUAUGGAUUCCUUGGUACUCGUCCUACUCCCCUAUCAAGAGCAGGUGUCUACUCCCCUCUCUCUGACUCUCGGCAGGAUUUUGUAACUGCCUUGGUGCAUUGAAUGUGGCAAAAGUGGCAAGACUUCCAUGGUGAGGUCAUAAACACUGAUAGAAUUUCUACCUGACUCUCUCUCUUUUGGGGGCCACUCACCACUGGACCCCUGCAGCCCAGCCACCAUGCUGUGAGGAAGCCACGCGGCCGCAUGGAAAGGCCACAUGCAAGUGACCCAACCUCAGCCAGCAGUCAGCAGCAACCACUACACAUGGGAUCACGCACACUUUCAGAAGAUUUCAACCCCAGCCUCAAAGCCGCCUCAGCUGGCUCAAGUCAGCAACAACUCGCUAUUCCCUCAGAGUUCAUGUUGCAGAUUUGGGAGCAACGUAAAUGUCGCUAUUGUUUACACCAUUAAGGGUGGGUUGUGGAGUUCCCACUGUGGCUCAGUGGGUUAAGAAUCCCACUAGCAUCCAUGAGGACAAGGCUUCAAUCCCUGGCCCCACUCAGUGGGUUAAGGAUCCAGCGUUGCCGUGAGCUGCGGUGUAGGUCACAGACACAGCUCACAUCUAGCAUUGCUGUGGCUGUGGUGUUGGCCAGCAGCUGCAGCUCUGAUUUGACCCCUAGCUUGGAAAUGUCCAUAUGCAGCAGGUGCGGCCCUAAAAAGAAAAAAAAAAAAAAAA
ensembl:lncRNA